ACAAGUUUAUCAGGGUCAGUGUCCCAGUGCCAGACUGGACCUGUGGGGUCUGUGUGGAUCACCCCACCUUGAGUUUCUAGGUCAGAUUCCCCAUUCCGCUGCUCCUGCGCUAGAACAGCGCUCAGGUUGCACAAUUGCAGAGGAGGGAGGAAUCUGCUUCCCGAAUCCCGAUCUCCCCGGGAGCCUUUCCCGAUUCUCCCCUUCUUCCCAGCAUAUCCUGCUGGAUCCCACCGCAGUGGGAGCAGCCCGGCAGCCUGGCUCUGCCCAGCCGCCCUCCGUCCUCCCUCCCUCCCUCUCCCUCAU